GACGUAGGGCGCGAGCGUUGUCCGGAUUUAUUGGGCGUAAAGAGCUCGUAGGCGGCUUGUCGCGUCUGCUGUGAAAACUCGGGGCUUAACCCCGGGCCUGCAGUGGGUACGGGCAGACUAGAGUGCGGUAGGGGAGACUGGAAUUCCUGGUGUAGCGGUGAAAUGCGCAGAUAUCAGGAGGAACACCGGUGGCGAAGGCGGGUCUCUGGGCCGUAACUGACGCUGAGGAGCGAAAGCGUGGGGAGCGAACAGG
rnacentral:rRNA from 1 species